AUGCCUUCUGCCAUUUUCUUGUGUGUUGAUUGGUCUUUCUCUCUCCUUCACCCUGGCUGGUUUGGUUGUGUCAGUUCUGUCCAGGUCCUGAGUGCAGACAUCUGUGUUUCCAGUUACUUUUUGCCUGACUGUCACCAUCCCAAUCCCUCUGUUGUUAGUCCCUCACAGUUUACUCCUGGGCUGGUUUUACUCUUGCUUUUUUUAAACGGCUAUAAACAACUAAUUUUUCAAUAAAAUUUUCAAAUCUGGACAUGGAACAAAUGGUGGAAGUGUUGGCAUCUCGCCAUAGCCCCCUCAGGAUCUGCACAGUAUCUGGCACAUUUUGAAAACAACUAAUACGAGUACUGAACCUGUCCCACCCACAUUCACCACCUCCUUCCUCUCAGUCCUCCAGUCAACCUUGAAUCAGUUGGUUGUUUUGUCUUAGUAAGGAAGAUGGUUAUUGUGCUGUUGUUUGUUGUGAAGUGAACAGUCCCUUUGUGUUCUCAGCCUCUCAGUCAUUUUCUGACUCACUCACUUGGGCUGCAAUGAAACAUCAGAGCAAGUUUAAACGUCCAUCACAGAUUAGUUAAAGCUGCAGUUUACGGUGCCACCAAUAUUCACAUCCUGAUGUUCUUCAGCUACACGAGUGUUUGAGGGAUGUUUCUCUUUUGCCGAAUGCAUCACUCUGAAUGUUAAAAACAUUUUUUAUCAAAAAAUCUCUCAUAGCAACAACAUACCCUUAGUGCUAGACAGCAUAAAUAAGAGCAAACAGAAACAUCCGUUUUUUUCAGUGUAUAACUCUUUUCUGUUUUUAUAGGGUUUUAAAAAUAAUUUAGAUUUGCAAACGACAGUGCAGUAAAAAUAUUUGCCCCUGUACAGAUUGCUUGUUUUGUUGCACUUAGAUGUUUCAGACUUGCUUACUGCCAGAUCUGCACAAUCCAGAAAUCACCUCAAGAGAACCUGUCAAGCAACAUGAGUUGGACUAAAAAAAUUAUUAAGAACACAUGGUGUCUCUGUCGGAAAAAGACUCAUUGAUAUUAUAUUACCCCAUUUCCAAAGCUUUGUGGUGAUUUGGCCAGUCACUAAAACUACUCCUAUACUACAACAAUGGCAUUUUCAUGAGGUAACAAAGAACAAAACAUCUAAAGCUCUGCAGGCCUCAGGUGAGGCCAGUGUUGAUGACUGAGAUGUGGCAAAUAUGGCCUCCAUCAGAGGAUGAGUGAUGGGGAGCUGCUUUGGGAAAUUCAUCCAAAAAUGUGAAAGAGAAUGUCAACUAAUCAGUUCUUGACCUUCACCUAAAGUACACUUUGGUUAUACAACAGAAGGAUGAAGCAAAGCACAGCAGGAAGUUCACCUUUGAUUGGUUCAAAUAAAGUGCAUGUUUUGGAGUGUCAUAGUCAAAUCCGAACUUAAAUUUAGCCUAGGUAUUUCAGCUUCUGGAGUCGCAUUUUCUUUAGAAUAUUUUAGAAAUGCUCUACGACAAAAUCUGUGAAUAAGUAAAUUUUUUGCAAAUUGGAGUUACAGAAACCUGUUUGCAGUUGUUAAGAGUAGCGAACAAUUAUUUUUUUUCCACAGGUCAAGGUUGCUUUGGAUAGCUUUUUUUUUCUUUUGAUGAAUGAAAUCAUUAUUUAAAAACUGGAUUUUAUCUCAAGCAUAAAAGAUACAAAAAAAGGCAGAAAUAUGCACUAUCUUGCCAAACCUAUUUGCUCAUCUGCCUUGACUCACAUCUGAGCUUAAGUCACAUCCCUUUCCUAAUCCAUAGAGUUCAAUAUGACGUUUGUUCACCUAUGCAGCUAGAACAACUUCAUCUCUUCUGUGAAGGCUGUUCUCAAGGAGUGUGUUUAAGGGGAUUUUUGACCAUUCUUCCAGAAGCACAUUUGUGAGGUCACAUAGUGAUGUUGGAUGAGAAGGCCUGACUCAGUCUCCACUCGAAUUAAUCCUAAAGGUGUUCUAUCAGGUUGAGGUCAGGACUCUGUGCAGUCCAGUCAGGCUCAUCCACACCAGACUCUCCAUCCAUGUCUUUAUGGACCUUACUUUGUGCUCUGGCACACAGUAUUGUUAAGGGGUCAACUCCAAACUGUUCCCACACAGUUGGGAUCAUGGAAAUGUCCAAAAUGUCUUGGUGUGUUGAAGCAUUCAGAGUUCCUUUCACUGGAACUAAGGAGCCAAGCCCAGUUGUUGAAAAACAAGCCCACACCAUAAUCUUCCCUCCACCAAACUUUACACUUGGUACAAUGCAGUCAGACAAGUACCGUUGUCUUGGCAACCUCCAAACCCAGACUUGUCCAUCAGAUUGCCAGAUGGAGAACACGUCUCCACUGCUCUAGAGUCCAGCGACGACGUUCUUUGCACCACAUCAUUCGACGCUUGUAUUGCUCCAUCAGUUUAUGUUCCCUUCCACUUUGUGUCUAAGUUGCCGUUGUUCCCAAACACUUCCAUUUUCUUAGAAUACAUCUGACAGUUGACUGUGGAACAUUUAGGAGCGAGGAAAUUUCACCACUGGAUUUGUUGGGUGGCAUCCUGUCAGUUCCACACUGGAAUUCACUGAGCUCCUGAGAGCGAGCCAUUCUUUCACAAAUGUUUGUAAAAACAGUCUGUAUGCUGAGAUGUUUCAGUUUAUACACCUGUGGCCAUGGAAGUGAUUGGAACAUUGAAUGUGGUCAUUUAGAUGGGUGAGCAAAUACUUUUGGGAAUCUAGUGUAUGUAAGUAAAUACUUUGCCUUCGUACAGUAGAUGGAUGAGUUGAUGUCCACUCAAAGGCUUUUAAGAGGGUGUAGAUUUUGCUACUAUUGAGCUUUGCAGCUUUGUGCUUCACAGGAACCUACAUAUCUUCUAAUCAUUGCUGUUAAUAGGUUGACAAAAUGAGCCAUUCCGGACUGAAAAGUGUUAGGACAGCCCAAAAUGCUCUACACAAUAAAAUGUGUUUUAUCUAAUUUAGGGGCUGUAAAAUGUUUACAUUUUAUUUUAUCAACUCUAAACCAAAGUCAGUAGUUGCAGCCCUUCUCAUCUAUCAUCUGCCACCUUUCAUCCAUUUUAAGAAGUCAAAUGUUUCUUCCUCCCCAUCUCUUAUGGGGACCUCAGAGUGGCCGAUUGUGGCCACACUGUUUCCAAGAGGAGACUGGACUCUGGCUUUUCUACUUCUUCUUUGUUGUUUUUGAUGGUUAAGCUGUUUGCUGUAGUCUGUAUUUGCUGUUUGUUUGUGAAAUGAUUCAUUUGAAAGUUUGUUUUCUGAAAAAAAAAAACCUAUUCUGACCACAUGCACUUCUUUUCCAUUUCUUUUUAAGCUUUGCUCAAGAUUUUUCCUGAUUAGAUAAUGACUGAUUAAAAAAAGUUUAAUGUAAUAUGUUGUGUAUAUGUUUAGAUUGCUUAAGUUAUAGAAAAAAAAAUAUUUUUAGUUGUUGGUGUAUGGCACUUUUAAACACAUACUUUUAAAGCACCUGUGAAAUAAGUCCUUUUUUAAAGAAUAAAGUAAAUCAUUUUACUCUGUGAACAAUGCAAAUUCUCCAUCUGGUUUAAUGUUGUUUGGAAUAAGACCGAAAGUACAAAAUAUUCUCACCAAGUGCUUCAGACCAAUUUAAUAAAUAACACACAAAUUAAAACAAUUUGAAUCUUCUUUAAGUCUAUAUAAUUUACCCAGGUUGAAUACCAGUCAAUUCAAAGCAAAUGUCUGUACUAAUCUGACUAUGAAGAGGCUUAAAUUUGACCCACUGCAACUCCCAGUCUGUCCAGGAUGCCCCCCCGCCCCCACCAAUCCAUAACGAGUGCUGCUCAACAGUGAGAUUAAUAAUACAUAUAACAG